CAAGCCUGAUCCAGCCAUACCGCGUGGGUGAAGAAGGCCUUCGGGUUGUAAAGCCCUUUUGUUGGGAAAGAAAAGCAUUCGGUUAAUACCCGAUUGUUCUGACGGUACCCAAAGAAUAAGCACCGGCUAACUUCGUGCCAGCAGCCGCGGUAAUACGAAGGGUGCAAGCGUUACUCGGAAUUACUGGGCGUAAAGGGUGCGUAGGCGGGUUUCUAAGUCAGAGGUGAAAGCCUGGAGCUCAACUCCAGAACUGCCUUUGAUACUGGAAGUCUUGAGUAUGGCAGAGGUGAGUGGAACUGCGAGUGUAGAGGUGAAAUUCGUAGAUAUUCGCAAGAACACCAGUGGCGAAGGCGGCUCACUGGGCCAUUACUGACGCUGAGGCACGAAAGCGUGGGGAGCAAACA
rnacentral:rRNA from 1 species